CUACGGGGUGCACCAGUGAGGAAUAUUGCACAAUGGAGGAAACUCUGAUGCAGCAACGCCGCGUGGAGGAUGACGCAUUUCGGUGUGUAAACUCCUUUUAUAUGUCAAGAAAAUGACGGUAGCAUAUGAAUAAGCACCGGCUAACUCCGUGCCAGCAGCCGCGGUAAUAAGGAGGGUGCAAGCGUUACUCGGAAUCACUGGGCGUAAAGGACGCGUAGGCGGGUUGGAAAGUCAGGUGUGAAAUCCUACAGCUUAACUGUAGAACUGCACUUGAAACUUCUAAUCUAGAGUAUGGGAGGGGGAGAUGGAAUUAGUGGUGUAGGGGUAAAAUCCGUAGAUAUCACUAGGAAUACCUAAAGCGAAGGCGAUCUCCUGGAACAUUACUGACGCUAAGGCGUGAAAGCGUGGGGAGCAAACAGGAUUAGAUACCCCGGUAGUC
rnacentral:rRNA from 1 species